rnacentral:rRNA from 1 species
UACAGAGGGGGCAAGCGUUAUCCGGAAUUAUUGGGCGUAAAGAGCUCGUAGGCGGUUUGUCGCGUCUGCUGUGAAAACUGGAGGCUCAACCUCCAGCCUGCAGUGGGUACGGGCAGACUAGAGUGCGGUAGGGGAGAUUGGAAUUCCUGGUGUAGCGGUGGAAUGCGCAGAUAUCAGGAGGAACACCGGUGGCGAAGGCGGACUGCUGGGCCUUACCUGACGCUGAGGUAGCGAAAGCUGGGGAGCGAACAGGAUUAGAACCUUACCGAGU